UGUGUAGGCGGUUCUCCAAGUUUGGUGUGAAAUCUCCCGGCUCAACCGGGAGGGUGCGCCGAAAACUGGAGGGCUAGAGUGCGGGAGGGGAGAGUGGAAUUCCUGGUGUAGCGGUGAAAUGCGUAGAUAUCAGGAGGAACACCGGUGGUGUAGACGGCUCUCUGGACCGUAACUGACGCUGAAACACGAAAGCGUGGGUAGCAAACAGGAUUAGAUACCCUGGUAGUCCACGCCCUAAACGAUGCAUAUUUGGUGUGGGUCAUUCAGUUGAUCCGUGCCGGAGCUAACGCGUUAAAUAUGCCGCCUGGGGAGUACAGUCGCAAGGCUGAA
rnacentral:rRNA from 1 species